CGCGUGAGAACAGGCGCAAUGGAGGAGACCCCAGGAGGGGAACUGAGCUUGGAAAUAGCAUUUUCCUACAUGUUUAGAACCAAACCCGCACAUGGCCCCGCUGCUCCUGUGGGUGACGGGCAAUAACACUCGCUUUCUGGGUGAGAAUCUGACCACAGGGCAGCAAGCCUGCUCUGUUCUUCUGGAAACUGACCAGGAUGCCGUGUCAGCUGAGUUCCUAGGUGUGGUCGGCAGAAUUGGGGCCCCCAUGAUCUCCGUCCCAGAGUCAGACGCCCGUGAAUAUGUAACUUCACGACAAGAGGGACAGCACAGAUGUAGUCUCCCUGACACCCCAAGGGCACCUCGUCCUGGGGCUCCUGGCUGAACACAGGAUUUCCGUGUGACUUGCUGCCCAGCGCGUGUCUCCCGCUGCUUGUCCCGGGCUCGUAAAGCCCAGGAUCCUGAUCGGCAGGGAUCACAGUCCUUGCAGCAAAACAUCAUUGUUCCACGAAAACUGCCAUCUCCGCAAGACUUCAGGUCCUUCUCCAACAAUCCUCACGUCACUGUCACUGCAGCCACCGUGUGCUGGCUUACUCGUCCUCACCAUCCCCCAGGGAGCUGAGGCCCUGGGAGGGCAGCCGAGGGGCAUUCCUACCCUGACCCGCCUUCCAGCCCUGGGGGGCCAGCCCGGUGGGCUCCAUAAACCGACUCUGCACCUGCUCACUGGGCUUGUGCACGACCCAGCGCUCAUGUCCUUCCAGAGAUACGGGCUGGAGGCGUGGUCAGGGAACAAGGGACGGCACGGCGGCGUCUGCGUGCUUGUCCACCAUGCACGCGACCGCACUGGCCGCCAUGGCCCGGCCGAGAGGAGAGCGGCCCGAGGGACACGGAGCUGCCCAGUCUGUCCUGAAA
rnacentral:lncRNA from 1 species